CAGUACAAUGCCAAGAUUAUUUCUGGUGUGUCCAAGCUUCAAGGAAACAGCACAACAAACUAUUUAUAGUGACCUCAAGUGCUCUUGCCAAAACACUGGAUAACCACUCAUGAAUGUAUGCCCUCAGGACUCUUCUGCUCCAACAGCUCUUCAUCUCAGAGUCCCGGAUCAGGACCCGGAUAGACUAGCUGUGGGAGGAAUGCGCGUGCGCCGUGGCACCGCCCACAACGCGUGGUGGGCGUGUUUUCCCCGCCUCCAGGGCGGAGCCCAAGAGCGAUUGGUCCCCGUUUUGGGCCUCCCAGGAUUGACUGGCCCUUCCACCCAACCAGGGCGGUCUACACCCUCUCACAUCACUUCCGCCCUCGCCUGGGAGCGCCUCUCGCCCCGUCGCGUUUAUCGAGGAGACAGGUGAAAACUGAGGUUUAGAGAGGGUAAAUAACUUGCCCAAAAUCUGGAAAAGUUUGCCAACCCCUGGUCUUACUCCUCAUUAAGGUUUCCCUUCCUCUCCACCAUUCCCAAAUCUGAGUAUUCCAGAAGAGCUACUGUUUUUUUAAUGAUAUGACUGUUUUGCAGGCCUAAGACUUAUGCAGAGGUGGCGCCCGCCCGUAAUCCCAGCACUUCGGGAGGCCGAGACGGGCGGAUCGCUUGAGACCAGCCAGGAUAACAUGGCGAAACCACAUCUCUACAACAAAUACAAAAAUUAGCUGGGCGCGGUGGCACACGACUGUGGUUCCAGUUACUCGGCAGGCGGAGGUGGAAGGAUCCCUUGAGCCUCUGGAGGUGGAGGUUGCAGUGAGCUGUGAUUGCGCCACUGCACUCCAGCCUGGGCGACAGAGUGAGACCCUGUCAGAAAACAAAACAAAACAAAAGAAUUCUGUAAGAACUUCUAACAGGUACAUUCCUGUAAGCAUUACCCACCACUGGACUAGGCACUGGGUAGCCUGUAAAAUACAGUAAGAGCCGUCUCUGCACCCAGAAAAUUUACCAUCAUUUUGUGCUGGAAAGACAUGCCCUAGAAAACAAUAAACAGCACGACUGUACAUGAUUCCAUGCCAAAUGACUGCUAGGAAUUAUUUUAUUAAUCCAUUCAACAAAUACUUAUUGAGUAACCACUAUUAGCCAGCCACCGUUUUCCGUGUGAGGACAUAAAAAUGAGUGAGACAAGGUCUCUGCCAUCAAAAAACGAACAGAUCAGUGAGGAAAGACGGAUGUGUCAAGAAAGGCUUUGCAGGUCGAGCGCGGUGAAUCACGCUUGUAAUCCCAGCACACUGGGAGGCAGAGGCAGGCGGAUCAUUUGAGGUCAGGCGCUCGAGACCACCCUGGCCAACAUGGCGAAACUCCAUCUCUACUAAAAAUACAAAAAUUAUCCGGGCAUGGUGGUGCAGGCUUGUAAUCUCAGCUACUCAGGAGGCUGAGGCAGGAGAAUCAUUUGAACCCAGGAGGCAGAGGUUGCAGUGAGCCAUGAUCAUGCCACUGCACUCCAGCCUGGGUGAGCGAGACUCCAUCUCAAAAAAAAAAAAAAAAAAAAAAAAGAGGGAGAGAAAGACUUUACAGAGCUGGUAACACUUAUCCUGGCCUGGAAAGAAAGAAAGAAAGCUUCCUAUGACGCCCUCUGGAUAAAACUUA
rnacentral:lncRNA from 1 species